GGAUCAUUAAUUAUGUUAAAGCGCCUUACCUUAGGGUUUCCUCUGGGGUAAGUGAUUGCUUCUACACUGUGAAAAUUUGGCUGAGAGACUCAGACUGGUCAUGGGUAGACCUAUCUGGGGUUUGAUCGAUGCCACUCCUGGUUUCAGGAGCACCCUUCAUAAUAAACCUAGAAAUUCAGUAUUAUAAAGUUUAAUAAAAAACAACUUUUAACAAUGGAUCUCUUGGUUCUCGCAUCGAUGAAGAACGUAGCAAAGUGCGAUAACUAGUGUGAAUUGCAUAUUCAGUGAAUCAUCGAGUCUUUGAACGCAGCUUGCACUCUAUGGUUUUUCUAUAGAGUACGCCUGCUUCAGUAUCAUCACAAACCCACACAUAACAUUUGUUUAUGUGGUAAUGGGUCGCAUCGCUGUUUUAUUACAGUGAGCACCUAAAAUGUGUGUGAUUUUCUGUCUGGCUUGCUAGGCAGGAAUAUUACGCUGGUCUCAGGAUCUUUUUCUUUGGUUCGCCCAGGAAGUAAAGUACAAGAGUAUAAUCCAGCAACUUUCAAACUAUGAUCUGAAGUCAGGUGGGAUUACCCGCUGAACUUAAGCAUAU
rnacentral:rRNA from 1 species